CCCUUAGAUGUUCUGGGCCGCACGCGCGCUACACUGAUGCAUUCAACGAGCCUAGCCUUGACCGAGAGGUCCGGGUAAUCUUUGAAACUGCAUCGUGAUGGGGCUAGAUUAUUGCAAUUAUUAAUCUUCAACGAGGAAUGCCUAGUAAGCGUGAUUCAUCAAAUCGCGUUGAUUACGUCCCUGCCCUUUGUACACACCGCCCGUCGCUCCUACCGAUUGAGUGUGUUGGUGAGGAGUUCGGGUUGGCUCUUAGUGGUGGUUCGCCACCACCUAGAGCUGAGAAGUUCUCCAAACCGCCCCACUUAGAGGAAGGAGAAGUCGUAACA
rnacentral:rRNA from 1 species